rnacentral:lncRNA from 1 species
AAUGGUAGGGUUAAUUAUCCAUUUACUUUUUUAUCCAAAUUAAUAUCGCAAAACCUGAAAAUUAUCAAAAUACCAAACCACUUUAACUUUACUUUGCCUUGCCUUUUUCCUCUUUAAAUUUUUUAUUAUUCACAAAUCACUAUUACAGUAUUAUUUUAUUCAGUUAUGAGAGAGAGAGAGAGACAGAGAGGAGGCGACCUUUCAAUAAAAGAAGUAAAGAACUGUUCUUCUGUUCUGUUCUGUUAGGCAGCUCUAAUUUUUGUUGUUUAUUUGAUCCGGAAAAGAGAAACAACACGAGAAUAGGGAUUCUCGCCGGAGGAAUUUUCCUUGUGUUCAGUGUUGCCGGAAAUUGGACUUUGGGAUCUC